GAACUUCCUAAGUCAAGCAAGGCUAAAAAUAGGCUUUGACAAGAUCUAUUUUGGCUCUCUUCUGAGGACGCUAUUCUCUCGCAACCAGCUCUAGGUUGAGCUACAUCCCCUCAUGACCACCUGUGUACCUCAGAUGCAGUGAUGAAGAUGAGACAAAAUGGAUUUGGUCAUCUUGGGUCACCCAGUGUGCUUUCAGCAGAGGCAAAGAGGAUAUUGUUGCCAUCAAUUACCUCUUCACUGACUUCAGUUAGACUGUAGAGAAAUUUACUUUGAUGCAUGACAAUCAAGCGCUGUCUGU
rnacentral:lncRNA from 1 species